rnacentral:rRNA from 1 species
AGUGAACGCUGGCGGUAGGCCUAACACAUGCAAGUCGAACGGCAGCACAGGAGAGCUUGCUCUCUGGGUGGCGAGUGGCGGACGGGUGAGGAAUACAUCGGAAUCUGCCCAGUCGUGGGGGAUAACGCAGGGAAACUUACGCUAAUACCGCAUACGACCUUCGGGUGAAAGAGUGGGAUCGCAAGACCUCUCGCGAUUGGAUGAGCCGAUGUCGGAUUAGCUAGUUGGCGGGGUAAUGGCCCACCAAGGCGACGAUCCGUAGCUGGUCUGAGAGGAUGAUCAGCCACACUGGAACUGAGACACGGUCCAGACUCCUACGGGAGGCAGCAGUGGGGAAUAUUGGACAAUGGGCGCAAGCCUGAUCCAGCCAUACCGCGUGGGUGAAGAAGGCCUUCGGGUUGUAAAGCCCUUUUGUUGGGAAAGAAAUCUUUCAGGCUAAUACCCUGGGAGGAUGACGGUACCCAAAGAAUAAGCACCGGCUAACUUCGUG